rnacentral:lncRNA from 12 species
GAACCUCGCACACACUCCCAUUGUGACACGGGCGCGACCUCGACCGUCCCCCCCGCGGGCAUAGACUCAAACCCAAAUUAUUCUCGGUCCACGUUUACAGAUGUUAGCCCGUGUUCCAUUUUUAACUGUGACGUAGGCACGUGCACUGGUUGCCCAGGAGACACGAAUCUGGGCAAACGCGGCAGAAAAGUGCCUGAGGAAGGGCAGAUGUGUUUCCCGGAGGUCCUGCUCACGCACAGCCUCCGAGCUCCCCGUCAGUGCCCUCCCCCAGCCGCAGAGCCCCAGAAUUAUAUUGAGAAGAUGACAACAUAAACUCUGGAGAAACAGAGGCUAUGGAUUUUGGUCAGGUGGGCUCUAGGGCCAUCAGAUCGAUAUAUCAGUGCUGUACUUCUAACAAUUAUCCUCUUUGUUUAAAGUGUGAAACUGGGGCAGCCCUGGUGGCGCAGCUCUUUCUCUUUCUGUCUCUAUGAAUAAAUAAAAUCUUUUUUAAAAUAUUUAUUUAUUU